ACGGGUGAGUAAUACAUCGGAACGUAUCCUGGAGUGGGGGAUAGCCCGGCGAAAGCCGGAUUAAUACCGCAUACGCUCUGAGGAGGAAAGCGGGGGACCUUCGGGCCUCGCGCUCAAGGGGCGGCCGAUGGCGGAUUAGGUAGUUGGUGGGGUAAAGGCCUACCAAGCCGACGAUCCGUAGCUGGUCUGAGAGGACGACCAGCCACACUGGGACUGAGACACGGCCCAGACUCCUACGGGAGGCAGCAGUGGGGAAUUUUGGACAAUGGGGGCAACCCUGAUCCAGCAAUGCCGCGUGUGUGAAGAAGGCCUUCGGGUUGUAAAGCACUUUUGUCCGGAAAGAAAUCAUCGGGGCCAAUACCCCUGGUGGAUGACGGUACCGGAAGAAUAAGCACCGGCUAACUACGUGCCAGCAGCCGCGGUAAUACGUAGGGUGCGAGCGUUAAUCGGAAUUACUGGGCGUAAAGCGUGCGCAGGCGGUGCUGUAAGACCGAUGUGAAAUCCCCGGACUUAACCUGGGAACUGCAUUGGUGACUGCAGCGCUGGAGUAUGGCAGAGGGGGGUGGAAUUCCACGU
rnacentral:rRNA from 1 species